GAUGAACGCUGGCGGCGUGCCUAAUACAUGCAAGUCGAGCGAACGGACGAGAAGCUUGCUUCUCUGAUGUUAGCGGCGGACGGGUGAGUAACACGUGGAUAACCUACCUAUAAGACUGGGAUAACUUCGGGAAACCGGAGCUAAUACCGGAUAAUAUUAUGAACCGCAUGGUUCAAAAGUGAAAGACGGUCUUGCUGUCACUUAUAGAUGGAUCCGCGCUGCAUUAGCUAGUUGGUAAGGUAACGGCUUACCAAGGCAACGAUGCAUAGCCGACCUGAGAGGGUGAUCGGCCACACUGGAACUGAGACACGGUCCAGACUCCUACGGGAGGCAGCAGUAGGGAAUCUUCCGCAAUGGGCGAAAGCCUGACGGAGCAACGCCGCGUGAGUGAUGAAGGUCUUCGGAUCGUAAAACUCUGUUAUUAGGGAAGAACAUAUGUAUAAGUAACUGUGCACAUCUUGACGGUACCUAAUCAGAAAGCCACGGCUAACUACGU
rnacentral:rRNA from 1 species